GAAGCAAAGUAACCCCAGAGCAUUCUGAAGCCACCACCAUGUUUCAGUAUCAGCAUAUUGCUUUUGUGCAGCAUUUUUCUGACUAUUUUAAUUUUAUUUCUUUAUAUUUAUUCCACUGUUUUUGUCCCAUACAGUGCAUCACUUUUGGACUCCCGUGCCCCAACCUUGUAUUCUUGAAUUUUAUUACAGCUUUUGCUUUUUAAUAUGCCACCCCCUGAUUACUGGCGGCUUAAAUCUCUAGCCACACCUUUAAAAACCGUUGCUGAUGGUGAUGCUGAUGGUCCUCUGGGAGCAGUAAACUCAGCAUAAUGAGCUCUUUUUACACACAUCAUGUUGAUUCAUUGGCUUCACCUCAAACUGAAUCCUGAUUGUGUCUUGAUGAAAAGCAUUACCUCUUUUUUUUCCCUUCUCUAAUCAAUAUUACAGCAGCUGUGAUUACAUGUAAAACAUGCACAACGCGUGAGCAGAGCUCCGUUGGAAUCGUGUAUUAUCUAAUUUACAUAAAAACACGCAUGUCCUUUUCGCCUGGGCAGCCAUUAAAUUUCAGCUGCCGUAAUUGAGUUCAUUAGAUUUAACGUCCUGGUCAAGGUCAUCUUUGUUACCAUGGAGACAGUGAGGCUCCGCCCCUCUUCCAAUGUUCAGGGCAUCUUCCAGGAGCUGCGGAUACAGCCAUAAGCAGCGCUCAAACAGAGGCAUGCACUGAAGGAUGUGAAGGGUUCGUGCUUCAGGUCCUACCCAAUAGCAAUUCACCUUCGCCGUGCCCUGCAGAGUGAAGUCAGCAGCUGUGCAAUACCUUUACAGGAAACCGAAGGAAAAGAAAGGACCAAGAGAAACAAAUCAUGUAGGCAGUGAAAUCACUUAGAAUCGCCAUUAUAUUUUCAUUCACCCAGAAGAAAACAUCUUGAGAAUAGUUUCACAGAUUUUUUUUUAUUUUUGUUUGGAUUUUAAUGUUCAGCUAAUGAACAGAUUCAGCCAAACCUUUGCAUCUCAUCUACAACAAAAUGAAGGCUGGUUUGGAAAGUAGUGUUUUGAUAUACACUUAACUAUAUUUGCAGAAGGAAAUAAAACAAUACCUGACCUGAAAAAAGUAUUCACAUCUCUUGAACCUGUUCAUAUUUUGUCAUGUUACCACAAAUUCCUGUGUAUUUUUUUCAUGAUAGACCACCACAGUGUAGGACAUUAUUGUGAGUUAGAAAGUUAGCUCGUUCAGAAUUACUAGUAUUUAGACCACGAAGUUCAAAUUUUUGGUUUUUAAUUAGACCAAACCAUCUUCUUUAAUAUUGAAUGUAAUGCUUAGAUUGUGGUUAGAACAGGACAAACUAUGACAAAUGCAUUCAAGAGAUAUCAAUGCUUUUGGAAAACAUUGUAAAUAUUUUCUUUCAAAUAAUUUAACUAAAAAAAAAACACAUUUAAGAAGUUUUAGCCUCUGGUUCCUACAAAAAAAGUAAGCUGAAAAUUAUUUAAGAACACCGACUUUUACUUUUUAUUCACUGUAGUUCCUCAUAUAUCCACUUAUUUAUAUGCAGAAAGAAUUUUGGCAAUAUGAUAAAUACUGUGGUUCCCUCUCUUAUUGGCAAAGAAGAUGGCUCUAGAACUAUACACGCCCUUGUCUUGCAGGGUAGAACCCAUUUUCCAGAGCACCUGCUGAAGUGCUGAUAACAAAACGAGCGGCUGCUCCAUCUGCAGCCACUCCCUGCUAUCUUCAUUAAAAUAGCACCAAGAACUCCUUCCAACAUUAACACUGGCAUGUUGCGACCAAGGGCUGAUUCUAAUGGUUGGGUUUGCUAACGCAGAUGGUGGGAAAAUCCCCUUCCUCAGUUUCUGUCCUAAACACAGAAGAUCACUUCCAAGAAUGGAAAACGUUGGACAGGGAUCUGCUGCAGUGAUAAACCUCUUCCAGAGGAAAAUAAUUCACAGUACCGUCACUAAAAUCACGGGAGAAUUUGGUUUUAGGAAAAAAAAAAAAAAAAAGGUACAAAAACCACACAAUGCAGACCUGUUCACAUCUUGAUAAGCCCUUAUCCCUUCACAGACUGAUAUUUAGUGCUCGACUCGGUGCAUCAUUGGGGAAAUGUGUCAGAAACGAAGCUCAUCGAGUAUCCUCCACUUGAACGGAAUAAUGGGACAUUCUCUGCAGCUUUGUUUUUUUCCUGUAAACAGGCCGUUGGCAAGAGGCGGACGGCUGGUUUGGCAAAAAAUGUUGGUCUAGGUAUGAAAGGUGGUGAAAUAGCAGAGAAAGCAGGUGGAAAACACAAUUCAUCUUCGGUUACACCUAUCACUUGGUGAUACGAGUGAUUCCCUGAGACUAACAUGAGUUGAUGCUUUCCAGAAAGAUUUACAUCAGCGCCGUUUCUCCCGGCAUCCUGGCAAUAAUCUUUUUUUUUUUUCUUUGCCUCAAGGACGCUGCUGUACAAUGGCGUGUAAAGGCCAUUGUACGGACGGGGAAAAAAAGGAGUAAAUUUCUGCCAAAAAAAAA